rnacentral:rRNA from 1 species
GAUGAACGCUGGCGGCGUGCUUAACACAUGCAAGUCGAACGGUGAAGCAGGAGCUUGCUCUUGUGGAUCAGUGGCGAACGGGUGAGUAACACGUGAGCAACCUGCCCCUGACUCUGGGAUAAGCGCUGGAAAUGGCGUCUAAUACUGGAUAUGUUAUGUGACCGCAUGGUCUGCAUCUGGAAAGAAUUCCGGUUGGGGGUGGGCUCGCGGCCUAUCAGCUUGUUGGUGAGGGAAUGGCGCCCCAAGGCGGCGGCGGGUAGGCGGCCUGGGAGGGUGACCGGCCACACUGGGACUGAGGCACGGCCCAGACUCCUACGGGAGGCAGCAGUGGGGAAUAUUGCACAAUGGGCGGAAGCCUGAUGCAGCAACGCCGCGUGAGGGAUGACGGCCUUCGGGUUGUAAACCUCUUUUAGCAGGGAAGAAGCGAAAGUGACGGUACCUGCAGAAAAAGCACCGGCUAACUACGUGCCAGCCGCCGCGGUAA